ACCCGCUGAACUUAAGCAUAUCAAUAAGCGGAGGAAAAGAAACUAACAAGGAUUCCCCUAGUAACUGCGAGUGAAGCGGGAAAAGCUCAAAUUUGAAAUCUGGCGGCUCCGCCGUCCGAGUCGUAUUCUGGAGAAGCGUUUUCCGUGCUGGACCGUGUACAAGUCCCUUGGAACAGGGCGUCAUAGAGGGUGAGAAUCCCGUCUUUGACACGGACUACCAGUGCUCUGUGAUGCGCUCUCGAAGAGUCGAGUUGUUUGGGAAUGCAGCUCAAAAUGGGUGGUAAAUUCCAUCUAAAGCUAAAUAUUGGCGAGAGACCGAUAGCGAACAAGUACCGUGAGGGAAAGAUGAAAAGCACUUUGGAAAGAGAGUGAAACAGUACGUGAAAUUGUUGAAAGGGAAACGCUUGAAGUCAGUCGCGUCUUCUGGAACUCAGCCUUGCUUCUGCUUGGUGCACUUUCCAGUUUGACGGGUCAGCAUCGGUUUUGGUGGGCAGACAAAGGCGCGAGGAAGGUGGCCGCUCCGGCGGUGUUAUAGCCUCGCGUUGUAUGUGUCCGCUGGGACCGAGGAAUCCGGCGCUUGCGCCUGGGAUGCUGGCGUAAUGGCUCUAAGCGACCCGUCUUGAAACACGG
rnacentral:rRNA from 1 species